rnacentral:misc_RNA from 1 species
CGGGGAGAUUUAAAUGGAUGAAUUUGCUACUUUCUAGUUCAAAAUGUAAACAGAAACCUUUUAAAACGUUGAAAAGCGAAGAUCUGCAGGACAUUGGCAAUGUGUUAUGUCGCUAGAGCUAUUAGUGGCAUGAGAUAUGAGAGUUAUUGGUAAACUAGGCAUCGGUCUGGCAACUGUAUUGGGUGGUUCAUAUCUUGGACACCUGCUUUUCAAUCAGCGUGAAUGGUUCAACUUGGCUGUCGCUAAUUAUGUUCAGGUUCCUAUGAAAGAAGAGUUACAAGGUCUUGUUCCCACAGGAACGCAACUGCUUGGCUUUUUUGUCUCACAGUUUCCCAAACAAAUCUUGAUGCUUUCUCAGUCAGAUCAUUUUCUCAUCAGAAAUAUUUCCCAGAAGAUUUUAUCCUCUGCCAUCUUACCAGAAGGUUUCAACAUUGCCACAACACUUGAUGAAGUUUCUGAUAGUGUUUUAACGAGUCUCGCCAGGGAAUCCAUUCUGGAGGAAAGUUGUUUCCCUGGCAUCAAGAACUGUGAUCUGCCUCAGAAAAACGACAAGGAACUGAGCGAAGCAUUUCGUCAGCUGCUGUCAUCUCUGCCCACAUCAGGACAAUGCGCAGCCUGGUUCACUGAAUCCGCUUUUCAUGGGGGGAAAUCCGGUCACAACUUGUACAAGACGAUAUUUUGGCAUCCUGAAAAUGGAGAUCAUCUUGAAACAGUUUCUGCUGACGACGAAAUUCUCUUGUUUUUAAAAGCACUGCGCAAACAUUCAGAAGUAAGAGAACAUAGAUCAGUGAUUCUCGAGGCUGGUGGAUUAGAAUUACUGCGUUUAGUGAGUUUAAACUAUGGUGGCGUCAAGGUGGAAAGAUUAGUCUCGCACGUCCUGGGAAAUAUGGCGAUAGAUGCUUCAUCGCGAGACAAGAUCAUCAAGACAGGCUGGUUACGGGAGCUUCGGCGAUGGAUAAAAUCGAAGGACUUGAUCGUCAAAAGUCAAUCGCUUCGAGCUUUAGCUAACUUGGACAGAGAAGGCGAAAAAGGGCAAAUAUACGAUGAUGGAAUAUUUGUGGCUUAUCCAGUCGAAAGAUUAAAAUGGUGUAGACCAGAGGUUGAUAUUGUAUUCGUUCACGGUCUUCGUGGAAGUCCUUUUAGAACUUGGAGAAGUGAAACAGAUGACUCGCUUGUGCAGACGCCGCGAAACAAGACUGGCUGUUGGCCACGGGAUUGGUUUCCAGUUGAUAUUCCAAGAUGUCGCGUUGUUUUGGUUGAAUACGACACAGAGUUGAGUGGCUGGACGUCGAAGUGUCCUUCGCAACCGGAAGUUUCGACAAUCGAAUAUCGUAGUGCAGAGCUUUUGAACAAAUUAAAAAAUGCUGGUAUAGGAAGACGUCCAGUGGUGUGGUUUGCGCAUUCUAUGGGAGGUUUAAUGGUAAAACAAAUUUUAGUGGACGCUACGAAAUCAUCAGAAUUUAGUUCAUUGCAGUCCAACACUAAAGGUGUCGUGUUCUAUGCUGUGCCCCACAAAGGUUCAGAGAUUGCUUCAAUGGUCGCUGGAAAAGCCAGAUAUUUGUUUUUACCUUCCAGUGAGGUCAAGGCAUUACAAAAAGGCUCAGAAUAUCUUGAAGUUCUACAGAAAAACUUUCUCGACUUGGUUCAAAACAACAAAGUGGAAGUUCUGAGCUUCGCAGAGACCGAACCAGCGAAAAUCGUGCGAGAUACGCUCAUAGUCUCUCCGGACUCCGCAGACUUUGGAGUGGGCGAGUUCAUUCAGCUGCCAGCUAAUCAUUAUAAUGUAUGCAAACCCCGGAGUCGCUGUGACCCAACUUACGUGAAGACGGUCGAUUUCGUUAAACGACAUUUGGUUGACAACGAGAAUUUCAUGCCAAUAAUUCUGUUUUGAGAACAGUAAUCUACACAACUGUCAAGGGCGUGGGAAAAGAUAUUCGACGUGGAAAUGCCCUCCGUGUUUAACCCUGUCUUCACAGUGGCAACAGAGAGACGUUCACAGCAUAUAAGAUUGGAAUCAAGAAAACCAGUGUCAAACUUCGCAUGUUAUCUGACCUGUCAUCCGAAACACCUGCUUCG